rnacentral:lncRNA from 1 species
UUUUUUCUUUCCUUCUCUUUUCUUUUGUAUCCCUCUCUUUGUUAAAGCAUCCCAUCUAGCUUAUAUCUUUUAAUUCCAAACAAUUUUCUUCAACUCCCAAGACAAACAGCAGAGGAGGUUCAAGUCUAGUCUAUGUAUGUCUGCAUAUGCAUGAGUGUAUGUCUCUGUAUACGUCUCCAUCUGUGAGUAUGUGUAUAUGUGCCUGUGUGUUUGUAUAUGUACGAGUUUGUGUAUGUUAGCUGUGUACAUGCAUAUGGAUGGGUAUUUGUGUGCAUAUGUAUCUGCUUGUGUGGGCCUGUGUCUGUAUAUAGAGAUCUGCGUGUCUGCCUAUAAGUGUGUAAGUGCAUCGGGGUGUGUGUACAUGCAGUAUGUGUGUAUCUGUUAAUCCAUACUUAUUUGUGUGCCUAUGUAGAUACCUGUGUGUCUCCUUGCACAUAUAUGCCUUUAUUUCUGUGUGUCUAUGUAUAUAAGUUUGUGUGUCUAUACCCAUGCACCAUUAAACAUAGUUCCUACUUUUUAAAUAAAUGAAAGUGUUUCUUGAAGAAAAAAAUAAGCUACUUAGAACCUAAUGUUCUGGAAAAAUUCGUAUUAAAAGACAUCUGCUUAUACCAAAUUCUGUUUUGUCUACAUUUAGCUACAGGUGUUUAAAAAAAUGACAAGCACUUGGAAAGUAGACAAACCAAAAAUUGUAAGAGUAUCCAUAUUCAUCUUAGCUUUCACAAUGAAUUAAAGUAUAAACAAUGGAGAAGAGUCAGUCCAAGAUUUUCAUAAGCGAGUUCUGUUUGGUGUAAACAAGAUUCAUUUCUCAUAGAAAUGUGCUGACACUAAGUAUAUACUGAAAGCUUAUAGCGCAAUGAAUCUGCUUACUGAUAUUAAUUUACUUUUUAUAGCUUUUUCAAUAUAGUAUUGAUUAAAUUAGCAUUUGAAUUAAUGACCUUUUAAAUUCAGAACUGAAGCAGUAGUCUCUUAAUACAGAAUAACUAAAAGAUCAAAAUAUUUAAAGUAAAUUUUCUUAAGUAUUUCAUACCUAUAUCCUGCAUAUAUUAUAUAUUCAUAGUAUACAUUUAUAGUAUAUAAAUAAGCAUUUAUUUUUCUGUCUUUUUAGGGCUGCACCUACAGCAUAUGGAGGUUCCCAGGCUAGGGGUCGAAUCAGAGCUGUAGCCACUGGCCUAUGCCAGAGCCACAGCAAUGCCAGAUCUGAGCUGUGCCUGUGACCUACACUAUAGCUCACAGCAACGCCGGAUCCUUAACCCACCAAGCAAGGCCAGGGUUUGAGCUUGAAUUCUCAUGGAUACUAGUCAGAUUCAUUUCUGCUGAGCCACGACAGGAACUCCCUCAAAAAGCAUUUUUAAUGCCUGAUAGAUACCAGAUGCUAUGAUAGAAACAGAAGAGCAAAAUGAAUAAAGGCUGGGCUCCAAUCUUUAACAAAGUCAGUUUCAAAGAGGAACAGGACUAAUAUAGAAUGUGCAGAUCCCAGUGGAAGAUGGAAAUGUGGGGUCCUUUGUUCAAAAGGCAGGAACAAAUGCAACUGAAAAUAUACACAAAUGUUUUCCUUGUUUUCCAUGGCCUCUCCUUCUCAACUUGUCUUUUUAAAAAAUUUGCUAGCAAAUGCCUUUCUACAUUAAAGAAAAAUCUUAAGUGAUUAGCAUUAAUUUUCCUGUUAUUUUUAUAGUAUAUACUGACUUUUUUUUUUUUUGUCUUUUUAGGGCCACACCUGUGGCAUAGGAGGUUCCCAGGCUAGGGGUCCAAAUGGAGUUGUAGCCGCCAGUCUAUGCCACAGCCAUAGCAACGCUGGAUCCAAGCCUUGUCUGCAACCCACACCACAGCUCACAGCAAUGCCAGAUCCUUAACCCACUGAACAAGAUCAGGCAUUGAACCCACAUCCUCAUGGAUGCUAGUCGGGUUUGUUAAGCGCUGAGCCAUGAUGGGAAGUCCAUAUCCUGACAGUUUUAAAUGCGAAUAUCAGACUAUGUGACCCUUCUGUAGAAUCACAACAAUUACACACUCUGUUUACAUGGUUCAUCCCUGAAGGGUGCCUUGAACUUGUCAGAAAAGACAAACACAAGCCAGAUUCCAAAAGGCUGUAUAGAGGAAGGGAGUGGUACCCUAGACAGGAUAGAGCGCUCACUCUGGAGCGAGUGAGAACUGUCACAGGUACGUUGUGUGACAGGCACCCUCCUGUCAGCUGCAGACCUAUUCCCAGUGUCCUAGCCAGGUGUGGGGUCUGGAAAUUUGAGGUAGGCAUCUCCCCUUUCUUAUGAGACCAUCACACCAACCCAUGGCAGAUGGGCAAACUCCCUAAAGAUGUUUAAAUCUGUGUGCCAGGAAGGCUAGGUACCUGGAUACAGGUAACAGAGGCUUGCUUCCUCCAAUAAGCAGGGUUUUUUUUGUUGUUGUUUUUCUUUUUUUUUUUCUUUUUUUUUUUGGCCAGUCACCUGCCAGAUGUUCUGGGGUGCCAUCAGCUCAGUGUGGGAUGGCUGCCACCAUGUCCCUCCCCAACAUUUUCCACACCUGCAAGGAGUGGAGGGGGGGAGCAGUGAUGGGGAGAGCAGCUGAGCCGCGCUUGGGAUCCUAGGGGUUGAAGGAAUGGACAGCUGAGAAUCUGUUUCUAGAAUGUUGUAUGCCUGGGGCUUGGGAAGUCUCCAAACUCCAGGCACAAGCUCCAUGGACCCAUUUUACAAAGCAUAAAUUCAAGGGAAAAAUUUUUAAAUAUUUGAAAAUGGAAACUCUAGAGUGUUAUUCCCCGAGCAUAAACCAUUCUGGAGGUGGUGAGGAGUGGCUGGUCACACGGCCAUGAAGCCAACCCUGAAUAGGUAGGACAAAACCAUAGUUUAGUGGAACAUGAGAAAUAUGUAUUUAGUACAGAACUGGCAUAGAGGAAGGUGUAAUUAACCCUAUAAAUAUGGUGGAAAGAAGGGAUGGUUCCUCUAGGAGUGACAAUUUAAGCUGAGUUUUGGAUCUAAAUCUGAUUUCUCUGAGCCAAUAAAGAAUGGGGAAUGGCAUUAUAGGCACAAGAAUGCCUUGUCCAAAGUCUCAGAAACAUGGAUGAUCAUGUCAUCUUUGAAAAACUGCAAAUGUUGGUAUAGCGGCAGUGUGUCCUUGUAUGCAAGCUCAUGAGUCUGUCUAGGGUUAAAAAAUAAUGCAGGGUCAGUUGUAAGCAAUUAGGGUUUGGGUUGCAUCAUGUUAGAACUUGUGUAGAUACUUGAAAGGAAUUAAGCCUUAUGCAUACCCAAGCUCAAAAGUGAGAUCUUCAAUUUCCAAACAGCAAAAGAUAACAGGAUAAAUUAUACUCUGCAGUCUCAAAAUGUCAGAAAUUCUUCAUUGAUAUGCAGCAACAACAAGCUUUCAAAGGUCUUAAGCUAAACUGGAGGAAAAGACCACACAUGGUAUCAAUGACUUUCUAAUCAAGAUUUCUCGGAUUUUUCUCCAUAGAGUAUGCCAUUCCAUGUUAUUAGAAAACUAUAGUUAAAAUGAACUCGGUGAUGAGUGUUUAGGCCACUGUCACUGGAAGGUCUAUGCCUGGCUGACACCCCAGAUAUGAUUUUCUUACUAAGCGUGAAAAUCACUUUUAAAAAUACCCCGUUUCUUUCGUGUUUGAUUUCUUUCUAGAAGAGAAUGUAUAGACUUAUGUUGUCCAAAUGAGAAAUAAACUUUCUUUUUUUCCUUUCCUCCACCUUGGUUAUAAAGUUGGUAUGAUAAAUUGGCAGUAGGGAUUAAAAACAAAAUCAGAAAUAUUUGCCCUUCGUGUUCUUUUUCCUUAACUCAUGACAGAAGAAGAGACUUUCAGUGGUUACUAUGAAAUCUCCUUUCCAAAUAGCAAGACUUUUUGGGGUCCCUGACUCUUCAUCUUCCAAAUAGCAAGACUUUUACGGGGUCCCUGACUCUUCAUCUUAUCACUUACUAAAGGAUCCAGCUUUCCAUCAUCUCCAAGCGCAUACAUUUUUCCUGACUUAUAUGCCCCAGAAAUCCUGUGUUAAGUGGCCACAAUGCUGGUGAAGAUAUUUAAUUACGUGUAUAUGUUCAAAUAUGCUUAAUGCAGUAUCCCCUUCUAGUUUGAUGGCUCAAAAAGAACAGGGGCUAUGCUUUCUGGUUCCCUCAGGCACAUACGGGCACUAGCAUUGAUUUGGGUUUAUAGAUAGCUCUUGAUAUUUGUUGUAUUAAAUUGAAAUCAAUUAAGUGAAUUAGUCAUGGUAGUUAACCUUGGCUUUAAAAAUCAUGAAGUGGAGAAAGCAUCCUCCAUUUAUUUUUUUCAAAACCUCCCUUUAACAUUUUUUUAAAAUUAUGGGAUAUAUUAGGUUACAGACUCACAGCCUCUGAGUCAUAGACCUCUUUAUCAGGGGUAGAAGGGAUGCAAGUAGGAUGUGUAGUGGUGGAUAUAGAAUUAUAAAAGGGAUCUAGUCGUCCGUAAACAUGUUAACAUUUCUCAGUCAGUGAAUGCUCAAUUUUAACUAAUUAUAUGUGGGUGUUCAUGGACCUGGAACUUGUUAGAAUGGUCUCCUUAUUUCCAACAGAGUGAAGAAUCCAUGGUCUGUUAUGCGAGAAAAAUUGUAAUUGGUAGACUUCUAGGUUUACAUAUAAAAUCAAAACUGGGUGAGGUAGAGUUCCCACUGUGGCACAGCAGGUUAAGGAUCCAGUUUGUCUCUGCAGAAGCUCAAGUUGCUGCUGAGGCAUAGGUUUGAUCCCUGGCCUGGUGCAGUUGGGUUAAAGAUUUGGUGUUGCUGCAGCUGUGGCAUAGGUUGCAGUUGUGGCUCAGAUUUGAUCCCUGGCCCUAGAAAUUCCCUAUGCUGUGGAUGUGGCCAACCCCACCCCACCCCCCCCCCAAAAAAAAAAAACUGGGAAAGGAAAGAAAUGGCAAAACCGGAUCUGAUACUUGUUAUAGCAAGAAGUCCCCUCCUUGUAUCUACUUUAAACAACUCCCAGGUCCAGAUUGCUGAGUAUCCAAUGAGUGUGAACAUUUUCGAGGAUCUUGGGCUAGUAGGUAUGGGCACUGACUUUCAUCAUUGGGCAGCACCUGCUGUGGCUAUGGAUUGGGCAUCAGUGCUUCUGCAUGUAUCUUAAGUUCUGUGUGUGAUGUCAAAAGUCUAUUUUUAGACUUUUAAGCUGAUUGGGGUUUUCCUAGUCUUUGUUUAUUUUGGGAAGUAGUUUAAUCCAAUCUUCGUAUAUUCUAAGAAAAUGUCAAUUUCAGCUUCAGUCCAAAUACUGUAUAAUCACAGCACUCUGAUGUAAACUCCAAGCUGAACUUGAGCAAACUUAACACAUUCCAUUUUGUAGUGUAAUAACCAAGUUUAAAUCCAACUGCACGAGGAAACGACCCAGUAUGUAAGGGCAAUUUAAAGCCUAAUGAUCAUAUUUGCUGCUGCUGACAGACAUGAUGAUGCCUGUUCCCCAAAAUGACUCUCGCCAAGGAAAGCAAAGCAAUUGAUUCUGAGCUUCUAAAUUAAAAAAAG